rnacentral:sRNA from 1 species
AAAAAAUGAUCCAACCGGAGAUGACCGACGAGCGGAAGAGGAAGAGGAUGGAGUCAAACCGGGAAUCAGCGAAACGGUCAAGAAUGCGUAAAC